GUACGGAGAGAGGGAUGGGGGAGAGGGAGGGAUGGAGGGGGGAGGAGAUGGAGGUGGGAAGGGAUGGAGAAGGAGAUGGAGAAGAGAAUGGAAAGGGAUGGGAAGAGAUGGAGGUGGAGAUGGAGAGAGAUGGGAAGAAGGGAUGGAGACGGGGAUGGAGAAGGGAUGGAGGUGGGGAUGGAAAGGGAUGGGGAUGGGAAGAGAUGGGAAGGGAUAGGGAUGGAGAAGGGAUGGAGAAGGGAUGGAAAGAGAUGGGGAUGGAGAUGGAAAGAGAUGGGGAUGGAAAGGGAUGGAUGGGGAUGGAGAUGGAAAGGGAUGGAGAAGGGGAUGGGAAGAGACGGAAGGGGAUGUGGAUGG
ensembl:lncRNA